rnacentral:rRNA from 1 species
CACGUAGUUAGCCGGGGCUUCUUGGUCAGGUACCGUCAUCUUCUUCCCUGCUGAUAGAGCUUUACAUACCGAAAUACUUCUUCACUCGCGCGGCGUUGCUGCAUCAGGGUUUCCCCCAUUGUGCAAUAUUCCCCACUGCUGCCUCCCGUAGGAGUUUGGGCCGUGUCUCAGUCCCAAUGUGGCCGGUCACCCUCUCAGGUCGGCUACUGAUCGUCGCUUUGGUGGGCCGUUACCCCGCCAACUGGCUAAUCAGACGCGGGUCCAUCUUAUACCACCGGAGUUUUUCACACACUACCAUGCGGUACUGUGCGCUUAUGCGGUAUUAGCAGUCAUUUCUAACUGUUAUCCCCCUGUAUAAGGCAGGUUACCCACGCGUUACUCACCCGUCCGCCGCUCAGUCAUACAGAAAUCCAUCCGAAAACUUCAUUCUGUAUGCUUCGCUCGACUUGCAUGUGUUAGGCACGCCGCCAGCGUUCAUCCUGAGCCAGGACUCAAAACU